CAAAAACAUAGCUUUUUGUUAUAAAUAAAAAGUAGGGUCUGCCCAGUGAGUAAUUUUAACGGCCGCAAUAUUUGUGCGAAGGUAGCAUAAUCAUUUGUCUUUUAAUUGAUGACUGGAAUGAAUGGCUGGACGGGGAUAAGCUGUCUUAUAUAUAUAUAUUUGAAAUUUACUUUUAAGUAAAAAGGCUUAAAUGGUUUAGAGGGACGAGAAGACCCUAUUGAGUUUAAUAGAAUUUAUUUAAAUUUUUCUUAAAUUUUUAUAUAAUCUAUUUAGUUGGGGAGAUUUGAUAUUAUUAACUAUAUAAGAAUUAAUAGACUUUAAGUUUUUAGGAUCCAUAUUUAAUGAUUACUAAGAUAAAUUACCUUAGGGAUAACAGCGUAAUAUUUUUUUAGAGUUCAAAUCGAUUAAAAUGAUUACGACCUCGAUGUUGGAUUAAAGAACCUAAUUUGGAGAAGAUUUUAAUUUAGGUAGUCUGUACGACUAUUAAAUCUUUAC
rnacentral:rRNA from 1 species